GCACUGGGAGAGGGUUCCCGAGAUAAAAUAAUCUCUGCCAGCAGCUGAAGUGACAGAAGCCCCAUUAACAGCAGCAUAUGCCUGGGAACAGCCGUGCUGCGCGGGGGACGGUGCGGAGUGGGGAGCACGGGAGCAGCAGCCCGCAGGAAGGGGGGAUGUGGGAGCUGGUAAUUACUCUGCUGCCAUUGGGAUGCGCCUUGCUAAUUUACAGCCUUCGUGGAGUCGGGAUGCGAUUCUUCCUCCUGAGCCUGGGCAGGGCUGUCCCCUGGUGCAGGCAGCCGUAAUUAUCCACGUUUAACUGAGGGCUUCUAAAAUGUAUUUGUCUUGCAGCAUGUGGGUGUAAUUGCUGUGAAUUAAAUGCGAAUGCAGUUGUGGCUGGAGCAGGACCUCGUCUGACGGGGAGCACAGGGAGCUGGGGCUCCCCGGGCUGCACCCCGGCCCUCCGGGACACUGCUGGAGCUGGGGAGGAUCUGGGGGGUUCUGGGCAUCCCCACAGCCCCGGCACAGACCUGCCCUCCCUUGCUCUCCCGACUGGAUGGAUGGAUGGAUGUGCUGCCGGUGGGAGCCAGGCUAGAGCCCAGUGCAAGCGCCGCCGGAGGAGCUGGGCUGAAUCAAAGGUACGGAGGUUGGGAUGCCAGAGGCUGCACUGGGCUGUGCCUUGGCUGCUCCCGGGGUCCCUCCUGCACGCUGACCCUGCAUGUGUGGGGCUGGCAAUGGGUGCUUGGUGCGGGGCUGGCCGGGGCUCAGGGAUCAGGCAGGGGCUGGUGGGCACGGAGCCAUGCUCGGGGGAGGGAUGGGAGGAAGGCUGCCCACGACCCCCGGCUCCCCCCGGCACUGAGCCCCACGCAGGUGUGACGUGAGUCCUGCAUGAGGAGAGCUGAGACUGACGUGCCUGUGAGCGUCCGUGUGUGCUGACUUGCUGUCUGUCCGUACUCUGUGCGGCUCCCAGGAGCCAUCCCUGGAGGAGCCAGGGACCCUGUCCUUACUGAGGGAAAAGAGCAGCACACAGCCCCGUGCUGACCCUGGCCUGGCCACCGCAGCAGAUGUUUGUCCCCAGGGCUCUGGGAGGCGUCACAACAGCUCAUGGUGUCCCCAG
rnacentral:lncRNA from 1 species